rnacentral:rRNA from 1 species
ACGCUCGACACCUACGGGAGGCAGCAGUGGGGAAUAUUGCACAAUGGGGGAAACCCUGAUGCAGCAACGCCGCGUGAAGGAAGAAGGUUUUCGGAUCGUAAACUUCUAUCAAUAGGGAAGAAAGAAAUGACGGUACCUAAAUAAGAAGCCCCGGCUAACUACGUGCCAGCAGCCCGGUAAUCUGAGCGGGCUGGCAAGGC